CUUGAUCGAACCGAGCAGCAGCGGCCGGUCGGCGGACUUCUCCCGGCCGUAGGUGGCCAGCAGCGCCUGCGCCUC
rfam:Streptomyces albus subsp. albus strain NRRL B-2513 B2513contig105.1, whole genome shotgun sequence.